rnacentral:rRNA from 1 species
AAGAGACAGCAGCAGCCGCGGGAAUACGGAGGGUGCAAGCGUUAAUCGGAAUUACUGGGCGUAAAGCGCACGCAGGCGGUCUGACAAGUCAGAUGUGAAAUCCCCGGGCUUAACCUGGGAACUGCAUUUGAAACUGUCAGGCUGGAGUCUUGUAGAGGGGGGUGGAAUUCCAGGUGUAGCGGUGAAAUGCGUAGAGAUCUGGAGGAAUACCGGUGGCGAAGGCGGCCCCCUGGACAAAGACUGACGCUCAGGUGCGAAAGCGUGGGGAGCAAACAGGAUUAGAUACCCCUGUAGUCCCUGUCUCUUAUAC